UCGUUAACCCGAUUACAGCGAUAGUUCCCGGUUUUUCAUUGGGCUAUAGCAAAAAGCGGGACUGAGA
rnacentral:sRNA from 1 species